rnacentral:rRNA from 1 species
ACACAUGCAAGUCGAACGAAGCACUUUAACCUGAUUCUUCGGAUGAAGGUUUUUGUGACUGAGUGGCGGACGGGUGAGUAACGCGUGGGUAACCUGCCUCAUACAGGGGGAUAACAGUUAGAAAUGACUGCUAAUACCGCAUAAGACCACAGAGCCGCAUGGCUCGGUGGGAAAAACUCCGGUGGUAUGAGAUGGACCCGCGUCUGAUUAGGUAGUUGGUGGGGUAACGGCCUACCAAGCCAACGAUCGGUAGCCGACCUGAGAGGGUGACCGGCCACAUUGGGACUGAGACACGGCCCAAACUCCUACGGGAGGCAGCAGUGGGGAAUAUUGCACAAUGGGGGAAACCCUGAUGCAGCGACGCCGCGUGAGCGAAGAAGUAUUUCGGUAUGUAAAGCUCUAUCAGCAGGGAAGAAAAUGACGGUACCUGACUAAGAAGCACCGGCUAAAUACGUGCCAGCAGCCGCGGUAAUACGUAUGGUGCAAGCGUUAUCCGGAUUUACUGGGUGUAAAGGGAGCGUAGACGGCUGUGUAAGUCUGAAGUGGAAGCCCGGGGCUCAACCCCGGGACUGCUUUGGAACUAUGCAGCUAGAGUGUCGGAGAGGUAAGUGGAUUCCCAGUGUAGCGGUGAAAUGCGUAGAUAUUGGGAGGAACACCAGUGGCGAAGGCGGCUUAC